rnacentral:rRNA from 1 species
AUGUUCAUACUAAAUUUGAAACGGGUCAAUCCGCAAGCUUCUGAUCCUCGGUUCAUUUUUGAACUAUAUCCAUGUGUUCUAUCAAGGAUCAUUUUGGCGCAUAUGGAAAAGACAAGCAAUUUUGUUACCAGAAUUAUCAUAUUUGUAAGGUCAAUCACCCAUGGGUUCUGCACUUCACUAGAAAUAAUUUGUACCCUUGACCUGAUAAGUUGUUGUUGUAUUAUGAAUUAUUCAAAGUAUGAGACCAAAUUUAUUGUUUUAGUUUCAUACAAUUUUUUGUUUUUUGAUAAAUGGAGAUUGUCAUUGUCUUCCGUUUGCAUGCCAGAAUUUAGCGGUUCAAUGUAA